AAAUAAUGCUCAAAUUGCCACUUUCAGAGCCUGCAUAUCAGAUAAAGAAGAUUGACACUUUGCGUAAUUGCAUUCGGUCAUGAAAAUCUUCUGAUUUUCUUAAGGGGAUUGUGCGGGUUAACGUUUUCUACAGGAAUCUGACAGCUCACAUUGUAUAACUUUUAAGAAUUCUGCCCCCUUGUUACAAAAAUAGCCCACUGGACACUAGUGCUGGACAUACCAUUUUAGGUCCCCCAAUUAUCCUAGUAUGUUUUGACAAAGAUGAAUGUAGUCUUAGUUGGACGGUUAGAGCAAUGAAAUAGAACACUACUGUGGUCUGAGAAAAGUAAGUAGCUAUUUUUUAAAAAAAAAAAAGCUAAUUUUUCUCCAAAGCUCUUUUUAAAAUCUCAUUUCUGUAAGAGACCACUUUCCCCAACUAAAUUGGACAGCAGUGGAGUUCUGUAUCUGUAGCAGCUGCUGUGCACUGUGAAGAAGACUACUUGAAUGCUCACCCAUUUGGCAAUUUAAUUUCUUUGUAACCCACACAUUCAUGUUCUACUGAGUGCGGGUGAAACUGAAUCACUAUUGAUUAGCUUGUCAGUGCAGAUGUGGGUUUGGUGGUAUUUCUGUUCAUCCUUCAGAUAAUACACAAAAUUGCCAUAUUGUUUCCAAUUUAAUAAUCUAGCUAGUAUAGUAGACUGCUGUCUGGACUGUUGCUGUAGUUUUUAAUCUAUAUCUUUGUUUCAUUUUGACUUGAUGACUUGUGGUAAUAGCAGUUUUUCUUAUUGUGGGAGUGGGUACAAAGUUUGUCAGCUGCUGAAUGCAGUUAAAAAAAUUAUUGCACAGUUCCUCCCUCCCCCACCCCCCUUUCCAAGGUAAGAGCACCUCAUUGGUUUGCAAAAAAGUAGGGUUGUUGAACUAUCUAUUUGCUGAUGUAGUUUCAGGUUUUAACAAUUUUAUUUGAUCUUUAAUCACCAUCCACUAGGUUGCCCUUUAUCUUUGCUUCUUUAAAUGGCUUUGAUCCAUUCCAUAUCUAUGGAGUUCCUUGUGUAGUUAUGAAAAUUAAUUCACUGUGCGUUAAACAGUUCACUUUCACUGUAUCACAUGCUUAAGUCUGCAAUGACAAUCCAUUUGUUGGUUUCCUCUCUUUAAAUAUUGCAUGUGCAUUAUAUGCCAACAUUUGUUGGCAUCCUGACACAUUUUAUGAACUUAAGUGUCUUUUGUUCUAGGGAUUCAAAGCUCUUUUAAGUCAUUAAAUAAGCCUCUCUCAUUCUCAUGAGGUUAGAGGGAGCAUGAUAGCUAGUUGACUGAUUGGGGAGUAAGGCACAGAGAAGUUAACUGACUUGCCCAAAGUCACAAGAGUCAAAGUGAGCUACAAACAGAAUACAGGAGUCCCGAUUCCCAUUCUCCAACUCUAGCUGUUGAGCACCACUGCAUCUGGAGGCCUCAGCCAAGAGAAGUGCCCUAUUGUGGUAGGAGCAUAGGACAUGGGAAGAGAGUCACUGUGCUGCAGAGCUUUUAGUCUGAGUAGACGAGAGACAAAGGGUGCGAGGGAGCAACAAAGGUAAGGUGAAGUGGCUUGCCCAGUGUCAGGGACAACAAUGGAUGUAGAGCCCAGCUCUCCUCUUACCGGGAGCCAUACCCUAUCUACUAGACCACACUGCCUUUUAGGCAAAAACAUCUCUUUAAAUUACAAGUUGCUUUAUUGCAAGCUGUAUCCAGAACAAGAGAUACAUCGCCUAGUUUGAACACUGCCUUCGUAUCAUCACAUAUUUAGAGCGAACGUUGAAUAAAAAGUAUUUGACAAUGAAAUCAUUGCCUGCAAUUAUGACUCUGCAUUUUCCUGUUCUUGGCUAAGAGAACUAUGCUGAGGAAUCUUUAGACAAGCCAUCUUCAUAACUAUUAGAUGGACAGCAAUAUAGUAACAGGAGCAAAGUUUUAUUUCAAAUGUUGCUGAUGUUGGCUUUUUUUUUUUUCCUGCUGAAAAGCUUUUAGCUCUUGGGCAUCAAGUCAGAUGCCAUUUAAAUGCAUAACAUUCAAUUUUUAAACCCCCAUCCCCCUCCGUGCCAGAACAUUCUCAGUCUUUCUUGGAUGGAGUGUAUAAUAGGCACUUACUUAGCGCCGAUAACGCCUAAUUGAGGAUUCAGUCAAGGCUGUUGCUAAAUUAGCAGAGCUGGCUUAUUAGACAAAUGCAGUAUAGACUUGUCAAAAUAAGCAAUUCUUAAAAUUCCCAUUGCAUAAAAGGAGAAUUCAUGUAAUUAAGCUUCUCUUCCUUUUUCUGUUCCCAGGACACUGACCUCUUAUUCUUGAUGAUUCAAAUCUGUUUCCUACAAAGGCACACCUGUAUUAUUUACCUGAUUUCGUUUCACUCGGUGGUUGCUAAUGUCCUCUAGCCAGUACAGCAUGCUUAUGUAACCCACUGGUGAGAGUGUGUUACAAGUCCUCAUCCAUUCUGAUCUGCAGAGGAUAUGAGUUGUUAAAGCCCUCAGUUACAGGGCUUUGGCUAUUUAGCUGAACCGGGAGCAUCUCUUGCUUUUAGCUCUGGAGGAACCCGUUGUAAUCCCAGUAUGUCAGUCAAGAUGAUGACUGUUACACAGGUUGAUCACUGUCAUGGGACAAGAUCCUCCAAACAGGGAUACCCCACUAACAUUGUGUAACACACAAGGCUGAGACAGAGUUUUUCCGGCACCUGAAACCAUAUUAUUCAGAUAAGAAUGAAUGCUCGGGUGAAUGCUGAGAUGGCUGCGAAAUAGGCUGUCGAGUGUAGCCAAAGAGGAUAGGAUGAGGUAUUCCUUACGAGGAGACAGCACUGAGUGUUAACAGGAUCAGAAGGACAUUCACUUUUGACAUGCAGGUAAUGCAUCCAAGAAAUUAAGUCUAUAUGCCGGUAGAGAACACUCAAUUUUGACUAGAGCCUUAAGAAAAGGGACUGUUCCACAUCUGUGUGCAUUUUGUUAAGCUUCAAGAUGUGAACUGGAAAAAGUGGAUUCCCAUUGAUUGUGAACAAUACGCUCUCUAUAUGGCUUUUCAGAUUCAGUCAUUAUCAUGUCUUAAUUUUUGGAUGGCUUCUUUUCCCUGGGAGAAACGCUGUGUCUAGAGAAUAAGAAUGCUGCAGUUUGACCCAAUUUAAAAUGUAGCUAUGAAUUCAUCAGCUUGGCUAAGCAUAUAGUUAAGUUUUUUUGGUACUCCUUAUUGGUCCCAGAUAUGAAAAUAUUCUUUUUUCCC